rnacentral:misc_RNA from 1 species
GGAAGAAGACUCACGCGGCGCAAAGCGUGGUGGUGUCGGCGGCGGCGAUCCCGAGAGGGCAGCCACCCCGGCGGAAUGGAUGGGCGGACGACUGCCGCGUCCCUGAGCGUGAUAUUUUGCUAUCGCCUCGAGCGCGGCGAGGCACCCAGCCCUGGCCAGUCGCCUCCCGCAUCGGAGAGUGUGAUAUUUUGCUAUCGCCUCCAGAGCGGCGAGGCUGCCAGCCCUGCCACCCGGGCAGGGCGGGGAGACCUGUGUCAUU